CCUACGGGUGGCAGCAGUGGGGAAUAUUGGGCAAUGGAGGCAACUCUGACCCAGCAACGCCGCGUGAGUGAUGAAGGUCUUCGGAUUGUAAACCUCUUUAAGUGGGGACGAAAAAAGCGAUAGUAACCACAGAAUAAGCCGCUGCCUACUACGCGCCAGCAGCCGCGGUAAUACGUAGGAGGCAAGCGUUAUGCGGAAUGAGUGGGUGUAAAGGGUGCGUAGGGGGGUUGACAAUUUAGUAGGGUAAAUUUGGGGCUCAACUUCGGAACUGUUUAUAAAACUGUUGGGCUUGAGUGCAGGAGAGGUGAGUGGAAUUCCUAGUGUAGCGGUGGAAUGCGUAGAUAUUAGGAGGAACACCAGCGGCGAAAGCGAUUCACUGGACUGUAACUGACACUGAGGCACGAAAGCGUGGGGAGCAAACAGGAUUAGAUACCCGAGUAGUC
rnacentral:rRNA from 1 species